rnacentral:pre_miRNA from 1 species
UUUCUACUCCCUCUGUACGAAAAUACUUGUCAUCAAAAUGGAUAAAAAGAGAUGUAUCUAAAACUAAAAUAUGUCUAGAUACAUUUCCUUUUAUCCAUUUUGAUGACAAGUAUUUCCGGACGGAGGGAGUAUUUG